UACGGGGGGAGCAAGCGUUGUUCGGAUUUAUUGGGCGUAAAGCGCGCGAUAGGCGGCGCGGUAACUGUCGUGCGUGAAAUCUCCCGGCUUAACUGGGAGGGGCCGUUGCGAAACUGCCGGGCUUGAGGUCAGAAGGGGAAAGUGGAAUUCCGGGUGUAGUGGUGGAAUACGUAGAUAUCCGGAGGAACACCAGCGGCGAAGGCGGCUUUCUGGUCUGAUACUGACGCUGAGGCGCGAAAGCGUGGGGAGCGAUCCGG
rnacentral:rRNA from 1 species